UUAGGUUUUCUUCAUUUUCUUUUGAAAUUUUUCUGGGAUUUUUGUUGUUGAAGGUUGACGGAGAUGAUAUGAAGUGAAAAAGAGGAGAAG
rnacentral:pre_miRNA from 1 species